UACGGAGGAUGCGAGCGUUAUCCGGAUUUAUUGGGUUUAAAGGGUGCGUAGGCGGGCUUCUAAGUCAGCGGUAAAAAUUCGGGGCUCAACCCCGUCCGGCCGUUGAAACUGGGGGCCUUGAGUGGGCGAGAAGAAGGCGGAAUGCGUGGUGUAGCGGUGAAAUGCAUAGAUAUCACGCAGAACCCCGAUUGCGAAGGCAGCCUUCCGGCGCCCUACUGACGCCGAGGCACGAAAGUGCGGGGAUCGAACAGG
rnacentral:rRNA from 1 species